UUCAUGGAAAUAUUCAAGAAGAACACAAGUGCCCAGUGCUUGUUUGCUCUUGUGCUCAUGGCUACUGUCAUUUCGUCUUGUGAUGCGUUUGGCCCAGGUACAUGUAUCUCUGACCUAACUAUAAAUCACUGUGGUUUGCUAUGCAAUGCUAAUUUUUUAUGUAUUUCACAUAAUAUUGAGUUGUAUGAAUCUUACUGCAUCUGGCCGAUGCUGAAGCAUAGCUUGCCAUGUUGUUGUCUGGGUAUUCUUCUAAACAAUAUUGUUUUUGCGAACAUGCAGAAGGAGGGUGGUGCUUCAUGCCUUUCGUGAAAUGUGAUCUGGACUUGUGCAAGCGUAGCUGCAAAAGGUCUAACUCCCUAGUGCGAACAGAUACACGGAAUUUCUUCCCAAUGUUGUUGCUCUCCCAAGAAACUUAGUGCAUCUAUUGAUAAGAAUAGUCGUCCUUGAGAUGAAUUCCUAGAUAGUAAUUUAUAUGUCACUGGUCUUUCAUGGAUCCAAUCCGCCUGAUUGGAAAAAAAAUAUGGUGGUCGAAAAAUAAAAUUUAUCAGCAUUGAAAAAAUAUCGCUCCUGUGAUAUUUAUGCAUCGUGUGAAAUCGUAAUCCUUCAUUUGGUUGUUCAUAUUCAGACCUCGACAGUGAUAUUGAGACCAAUAUU
rnacentral:lncRNA from 1 species